rnacentral:rRNA from 1 species
AGUGAACGCUGGCGGUAGGCCUAACACAUGCAAGUCGAGCGGCAGCACAGUAAGAGCCUGCUCUUACGGGUGGCGAGUGGCGGACGGGUGAGGAAUACAUCGGAAUCUACUUUUUCGUGGGGGAUAACGUAGGGAAACUUACGCUAAUACCGCAUACGACCUACGGGUGAAAGCAGGGGAUCUUCGGACCUUGCGCGAUUGAAUGAGCCGAUGUCGGAUUAGCUAGUUGGCGGGGUAAAGGCCCACCAAGGCGACGAUCCGUAGCUGGUCUGAGAGGAUGAUCAGCCACACUGGAACUGAGACACGGUCCAGACUCCUACGGGAGGCAGCAGUGGGGAAUAUUGGACAAUGGGCGCAAGCCUGAUCCAGCCAUACCGCGUGGGUGAAGAAGGCCUUCGGGUUGUAAAGCCCUUUUGUUGGGAAAGAAAAGCAGCAGGUUAAUACCCCGCUGUUCUGACGGUACCCAAAGAAUAAGCACCGGCUAACUUCGUG